AUGUUUUGGCACAAAUACUUUGAUUUGGUAUACUUUAGCUUCUUCACCCUUGUCAGCAACAUUUUCAUUUUUUCACCACUUUUCAGCACAAAUUCCAGCUUUUUUGGCCGUUUUCAGAAAAAAAAACUCUUUUCAGCAGAAACUCUGCUGAUUCACCUCUUUUCAGCGCAACGUUCUGCUUCUUUGCCUCUUUUCUACAGAAAUUCUGCUGAUUCACCUCUUUUCUGCAAAAUUUUCAUCCUUUUUGCCUCUUAUCAGCACAGUUCUCAGCAGCUUCUACACAUCAUCCCCACUUGCAUGCACUCUGCUUUCACCUCUUUUCUGCAAAAUUUUCAGCCUUUUCACCUCUUAUCAGCACAAUUGUCAGCAGCUUCUGCUCAUUUCAGCAGAAUUGUCCGUCUCUCCACCUCUUCUUUGUAA
rnacentral:lncRNA from 1 species